AGCAGCCACGGUAAUUCCAGCUCCAAUAGCGUAUAUUAAAGUUGUUGCAGUUAAAAAGCUCAUAGUUGAAUUUCGGGAUCAAUACGUCAGUCGUGCCUUUGGUACAUACUAAUGUCAUUGAUUUCUCUCUUCUGAUGAAUCAUGAUGUCAUUAAUUUGAUGUUGUGGGGAGUCAGAACUGUUACUUUGAAAAAAUUAGAGUGUUUAAAGCAGGCACGCGCUUGAAUACAUUAGCAUAGAAUAAUGAAAUAGGACGUUAGAUUCUAUUUUUGUUGGUUUCUAGGAUCAACGUAAUGAUUAAUAGGAAUAGUUGGGGGCAUUAGUAUUCAAUUGUCAGAGGUGAAAUUCUUGGAUUUAUUGAAGACUAACUACUGCGAAAGCAUUUGCCAAGGAUGUUUUUC
rnacentral:rRNA from 1 species